UGGGGAAUAUUGGACAAUGGGCGCAAGCCUGAUCCAGCCAUGCCGCGUGAGUGAUGAAGGCCCUAGGGUUGUAAAGCUCUUUCACCGGUGAAGAUAAUGACGGUAACCGGAGAAGAAGCCCCGGCUAACUUCGUGCCAGCAGCCGCGGUAAUACGAAGGGGGCUAGCGUUGUUCGGAUUUACUGGGCGUAAAGCGCACGUAGGCGGACUAUUAAGUCAGGGGUGAAAUCCCGGGGCUCAACCCCGGAACUGCCUUUGAUACUGCUAGUCUUGAGUUCGAGAGAGGUGAGUGGAAUUCCGAGUGUAGAGGUGAAUUUCGUAGAUAUUCGGUGGAAAACCAGUGGCGAAGGCGUCUCACUGGCUCGAUACUGACGCUGAGGUGCGAAAGCGUGGGGAGCAAACAGG
rnacentral:rRNA from 1 species